rnacentral:rRNA from 1 species
GAAUCUUGCGCAAUGCGCGAAAGCGUGACGCAGCAACGCCGCGUGAGGGAAGAAGGCCUUAGGGUUGUAAACCUCUUUCAGGAGGGACGAAGGUCGGCACGUUAAUAGCGUGUCCGAUUGACGGUACCUCCACCAGAAGCCCCGGCCAUCUACGUGACAGCAGCCGCGGUAAUACGUAGGGGGCAAGCGUUGUCCGGAAUGAUUGGGCGUAAAGAGCGUGUAGGCGGUCCGGUAAGUCAGCUGUGAAAGUCAAGGGCUCAACCCUUGAAAGCCGGUUGAUACUGUCGGGCUAGAGUCCGGAAGAGGCGAGUGGAAUUCACGGUGUAGCGGUGAAAUGCGCAGAUAUCGGGAGGAACACCAAUGGCGAAGGCAGCUCGCUGGGACGGUACUGACGCUGAGACGCGAAAGCGUGGGGAGCAAACAGG